CCCUCAUUUUCGCUUCAUGGCUGCUAUUGCCUGCAUCUUUGUUGCGCUUCACCUUUUCUCUCUCUCGCUCCUUUUAUUCGCCUUUUCUCCGCGUAUGCUGCGCUUUUUCCUGUGUUUUCCGGUGUUUUUGCUUUGCUCGCACACUCGGCUGCAUUUGCUGUUCCACACUCGCCAUGUGC
rnacentral:misc_RNA from 1 species